rnacentral:rRNA from 1 species
AGAUAAUAGAUACCCGGGUAGUCUACGCCGUAAACGAUGCGCACUAGGUUCGAAGGUCUCUGACGAUCCUCGAGCCGAAAAACAAAAAAAGCGAUAAGUGCGCCGCCUGGGGAGUACGGCCGCAAGGCUAAAACCUCAAAGGAAUUGACGGGGGCUCACACAAGCGGUGGAGCAUGUGGAUCAAUUCGAAGCAACGCGAAGAACCUUACCUGGGUUUGACAUGCACGGAUGCCGUCCAUGAAAGUGGAGCCGGCUGCCUUCGGGUGAAACCGUGUACAGGUGCUGCAUGGCUGUCGUCAGCUCGUGCUGUGAAGUGUCGGGUUUAAGUCCCUUAACGAGCGAAACCCGUUAUCGCUAGUUGCCAGCGGGUUCAUGCCGGGUAACUCUAGUGAGACUGCCGGCGUCAAGCCGGAGGAAGGCGGGGUACGACGUCAAGUCAUCAUGGCCCUUAUGCCCAGGGUGUCACACGUGCUACAAUGGGGUGUCACAGAGCGACGCCAGACCGCAAGG